GAUGAACGCUAGCUACAGGCUUAACACAUGCAAGUCGAGGGACCGGCGCACGGGUGAGUAACACGUAUACAACCUGCCCUUUACUCGGGGAUAGCAUUUCGAAAGAAAGAUUAAUACCCGAUGAUAAGGAUGGGGAUGCGUUCCAUUAGGUGGGUGGGGAGGUAACGGCUAACCAAGCCUUCGAUGGAUAGGGGUUCUGAGAGGAAGGUCCCCACCAUUGGAACUGAGACACGGUCCAAACUCAUACGGGAGGCAGCAGUGAGGAAGAUUGGUCAAUGGGCUUUAGACUGAACCAGCCAAGUAGCGUGAAGGAUGAAGGCUUAUGGGUCGUAAACUUCUUUUAUAUAAGAAUAUGUAUUAUAUGAAUAAGGAUCGGCUAACGACGUGCCAGCAGCCGCGGUAAUUC
rnacentral:rRNA from 1 species